UUUCCGUAGGUGAACCUGCGGAAGGAUCAUUAAUGAGUUGUCAUGGGGUUCGAUGCUGGCAGCCAAUUUUUGGAUGCAUGUGCUUGCCCUAACAAUCAUCUUCCAAACACCUGUGCACAUUUUUGAGGGAGUCUUGAGUUGGUUGCCGCUCUUGGGUGAUUUUCUCACAUUCCCUUAAAUCAUUAUACGCUAUUAACAAUGUUGAACGUGCUCUGUGCCGCAAGGUUAUUAAUAUAAUACAACUUUUAACAACGGAUCUCUUGGCUCUC
rnacentral:misc_RNA from 1 species